rnacentral:lncRNA from 1 species
UUGUGUGAAGGAGCCAUGCAUUCACCCUCCCUCCCACCUUACCCUAAAUGGAAGAGGACAUCCUUCUAGGUAGUACUGAUUAAGAAGUGUGCCUUUUUCUUUUGAAACACAGGAGUUCUUUCUUGCCAAACUUCGGUUGUUCUUGUGUUCUAGUCUUUUAUUUUCCUACUUGUUUUUAAUGAUAUCUAGCCAGUGACUGAUGUUUCUCAUGGUUGGAAAGUAUAAUUAAAGACACCUGUAUGUCAUACACAGUAUAGAAUCAUUUCCAUAAUUCUUUGCACAUUAUUGAUGAAUUCACAGCAGUGAUUUGUCUCAAGAGAAGCAAAUUGCAUCUGAUUUCACUGGUCUUCUCGUUUGUACUGUGCCUGCUUCACGCUGUUCUGCUAAAAAAGGCCCUAAAUUAAGUAAAAUUUGUUUGCUGGCUCUAUUGCCUCCUGUCACAGUCUAAGGAGAUCUACUGUUGAUAUAUUAUUUAUUUGUUUUUAGAUCAAGAGAGUUUGUGAGAUUCUGUACGCUUGGGACACCAUACAAAGUGGGUGUCAUCCCACUCCUUACUUUUGGCAAUAAAGGCUUACGUUUGAAAAUGCUCCUUACAAAAGAUCAACACGAAGAUUUUCAGACAGAUUAAAGGAGAUUCCCUUGAGUAAUGUGCCACACAUCAUGGCACAUUCAACAGAUCAGUGGAUGCCCUUGAUACCACAGAUGAAG